GACGAACGCUGGCGGCGUGCUUAACACAUGCAAGUCGAACGGUAAGGCCCUUCGGGGUACACGAGUGGCGAACGGGUGAGUAACACGUGGGUGAUCUGCCCUGCACUUCGGGAUAAGCCUGGGAAACUGGGUCCAAUACCGGAUAGGACCACUGCCUGCAUGGGUGGUGGUGGAAAGCUUUUGCGGUGUGGGAGGGGCCCGCGGCCUAUCAGCGUGUUGGUGGGGUGAUGGCCUACCAAGGCGACGACGGGUAGCCGGCCUGAGAGGGUGACCGGCCACACGGGGACGGGGAUACGGCCCAGACUCCUACGGGGGGAAGCAGUGGGGAAUAUUGCACAAUGGGCGCAAGCCUGAUGGAGCGACGCCGCGUGAGGGAUGACGGCCUUCGGGUUGUAAACCUCUUUCAGCACCGACGAAGCGCAAGUGACGGUAGGUGCAGAAGAAGGACCGGCCAACUACGUGCCAGCCGCCGCGGUAA
rnacentral:rRNA from 1 species